rnacentral:rRNA from 1 species
GACGAACGCGGCGGCGUGCUUAACACAUGCAAGUCGAACGCUGAAGGCCCAGCUUGCUGGGUUGGAUGAGUGGCGAACGGGUGAGUAAUACGUGAGUAACCUACCUUUAACUCUGGGAUAAGCCUGGGAAACUGGGUCUAAUACCGGAUACGACCAAUCUCCGCAUGGGGUGUUGGUGGAAAGCGUUAUGUAGUGGUUAUAGAUGGGCUCACGGCCUAUCAGCUUGUUGGUGAGGUAACGGCUCACCAAGGCGACGACGGGUAGCCGGCCUGAGAGGGUGACCGGCCACACUGGGACUGAGACACGGCCCAGACUCCUACGGGAGGCAGCAGUGGGGAAUAUUGCACAAUGGGCGCAAGCCUGAUGCAGCGACGCCGCGUGAGGGAUGACGGCCUUCGGGUUGUAAACCUCUGUUAGCAGGGAAGAAGAGAAAUUGACGGUACCUGCAGAGAAAGCGCCGGCUAACUACGUGCCAGCAGCCGCGGUAAUACGUAGGGCGCGAGCGUUGUCCGGAAUUAUUGGGCGUAAAGAGCUUGUAGGCGGUUUGUCGCGUCUGCUGUGAAAGGCCGGGGCUUAACCCCGUGUAUUGCAGUGGGUACGGGCAGACUAGAGUGCAGUAGGGGAGACUGGAACUCCUGGUGUAGCGGUGGAAUGCGCAGAUAUCAGGAAGAACACCGAUGGCGAAGGCAGGUCUCUGGGCUGUAACUGACGCUGAGAAGCGAAAGCAUGGGGAGCGAACAGG